GUCCACUAGCUCAGUCAGUAGAGCAUGGGACUCUUAAUCACAGGGUCAUGGGUUCGUACCCCAUAUUGGGCG
rnacentral:tRNA from 1 species